rnacentral:rRNA from 1 species
GACGUAGGGUGCAAGCGUUGUCCGGAAUUAUUGGGCGUAAAGAGCUCGUAGGCGGUUUGUCGCGUCUGCUGUGAAAACUGGAGGCUCAACCUCCAGCCUGCAGUGGGUACGGGCAAACUAGAGUGCGGUAGGGGAGAUUGGAAUUCCUGGUGUAGCGGUGGAAUGCGCAGAUAUCAGGAGGAACACCGAUGGCGAAGGCAGAUCUCUGGGCCGUAACUAACGCUGAGGAGCGAAAGCGUGGGGAGCGAUCCGG